UUCCAUGCCAAAUUGCAAAACUUUGUUGUCAUCAAUCAAGAAAUGUAUUAAAUUGAAUGAAUGAAAGAAAGUUGCUUUCUCGUUAUGGAAAUUUAACUAUUUGUACUCCCUUAUGUAUGUUUUGCUAAUGGAAAUUUUCUCUCUCAAACUAUUGGGGAAGAAUGAAGAUUAGACCGUUCAAAAAGCCAUUUUACAUUGCCAAGUAAGAAAACUGCACUAAUCGUUUUACAUGGACUGCACCAUGGAUAAAAAUAACUUUUUGUUUCUCCUGUUGGCAGUUUAAGUAACUGUACUCCCAAUUACAUUCCUUAUGAUAUAAUUCCAGUUCAAAAUUUCCGAUCCUAUUUUACUUCUUAUAGAGAACUAAACACAGCCUAAGUGAUUUAUGAAAUGCGUGGCAUGGAUGAGAUUAUGGUGGUACUGGAUGCUAUUGAUUUCAAUAUUGACUGGCUAUUUUUUCUGUUUUGGCUUAUCUUAGGAAAGUUUUACUGUAUUUAUGCUUUAGGCUUAUCCAGGUGCAGUUUUACUUAGUAAAAAAUAUUUUUAAAUCUAAGUGGAGUUGAUGAGUUCUUGUUAACAAACCAUUGCAACCUUGAAUUCAGUUGCUUGAACCUUUUUGCCCCAUUCAUUUUUAUCUUUAUCGUAUAUCAUCUCAUUAGCUUGACUCCAGAUGUCUACUUUAUCUGCAAGAUGUAGCAUGAGGAUAAAGCAAGGACGUAAUAUGGACUCAUUUCAAGUUUCUCUAGGAUUAAAGAUACUGUCCGGAUCUUCUUUGCUGUUCUCUUCUGGAUGUCUCUUUUCUUCUGGUCUUGCGUGUGGGAUGGGAGAAAUAUUGGAAGACCAAAGAAUGGAUCUCGAUUUAGAAGAUGAUAUACUGUUCUACCCUGAACCAAUGCAAGUUCUGGUGAUUUCAUGCUUCAAAUUUUGACUGUGGUAUGAUCAGAAUCUGGUUAGCUACAAGACUACCAUGAAGAAUCAUACGCUUGGGUACUCUCAUUUUUCUCUUCCCUUCUCUCCAAAUAGUUUGAUCCUUAAUUUCGUUGAAUGUCAGUUAAACUCUUUUAAGUUUUCUGUUUGUGGAUUUUUGACGUGUUUAUGUAAUCUGAUUGCGGACUUGAUUGAGCUUUCAUGGUAAAAAGUACUUUAUGACUAUUAAGAAACCUACUUCACAAAGAAACUGCUGUGCAUUUGAAUCAAUUUCUAGCAGAUAGGGUAUGUGAAGUGAAUGUCCUUUGGCGAUAAUAUGUUCCUAGGGGAUGCUGCAGGUUUGGUGUAUGUAUCUAGCAUGGGAAGGUCCCAUUUUCGUCUUUUAGGCGGUGAGGAGUUUGUCAGAGGGGGUGAGGAAAAGGAAAAGCGGUUGUAAUUAUAAAUUGACCUUGUGUUUUUUCUGAUCUUUUCUGAUUUAUCAAAGGCUAAUGUGUUAAUUAAAGCAUCCGUUGUGCUCUCAUUUUCUUUUCAUAGGAGUUGUUUUGCCCUUGAUAUGCUCCAUUUGAAUCGCAGUCUCUGUAAUUUUUUGUUAUCUCGGCAUCCCUUCUUAGUCUUGCAGUAACAUGCCCUGUUGCAGAGACUUCCUCACCAUGCCUUGUUGCGUUCUGCAUGGGGUGGGAGAUGCUAUUCAAAUGGAACUAGAUGUCUUAGUUUGAAAUAUGAUUGGUUAAGCAUGCGUUCUCCUCUACCGCAGAUAUUGUUGCUUGAGGUGGUAUAAAUGUUAGCAGCAGCAUAUACGAGGAAGGGAAAGAAAAUUUUUGUUGCUCGUAGGAAUGCGGUUUGGUUCCCUGCAUUUUACGUGCCGUGUUUUCAUCUUCCUCUUUGCAGUAGCUGGACAAACACGACCCUGAAUCCUCGACCAACUUUUGAAAAAGCAUACAUCAGUCAGUCAAAAUGGUGGGACAUAAACUUCUAUCCUCCUAGACGCUCUCAUAGUGCUAAAUCCUCCGUCGCCGCUUCCUCAAAUCCUAUCACUUCUCCUCUUUGGAUGUUUACCUGCGAAAAGAAGGGAAGAAACGUGAAGCAGGGGAGGAGCAUGCGGUCGCGAAUGAAACGAGAGUAAAAGAAGCUAUCAAUUGGGUUGAUGCUCUUUCAGAUUAAUAAUAAUGACGGGAACUGUCCUACAUGAUUAAUUAUGGAAGACAGAAGCUGGUGUUUCCAAAAAGUGGCAGUGGGCCCCUUGAUGACACCGACUCCCCAUUGAUUCACUGUCCCAGGAUUACAGCGGCCCUUGUGAAAAAACCGUAUCGUUUAGGCACUUUUUAUAUGCGACGAUUGUUCAAAUGCUGCCGUCCGCUACUAUGGGGUGGCCGGCGGAGUCGGGAGUGUUUUAGGUUAACGCGUUGGGUACCAAUAAUCGGUAAUCGAUCGAUGAAUCGCCUUCUUAAAAGUUAUUGGCUGCCGGCAGUAGUCAUGAAUGAGCGUCGUUUUAUUUUAUGGGUUAGUUCGUUAAUUUUUCUCCUUCUUGGUUUCUUAUAAAAUUCAACCCAUAAGCUUCGCAUCUGAUCA